UGGGGACUAUUGCUAAUGCUACCAAGAGG
rnacentral:piRNA from 1 species